UACGUAGGGUGCGAGCGUUGUCCGGAAUUAUUGGGCGUAAAGGGCUCGUAGGCGGUUUGUCGCGUCGGGAGUGAAAACCAUGAGCUUAACUCAUGGCUUGCUUUCGAUACGGGCAGACUAGAGGCAUGCAGGGGAGAACGGAAUUCCUGGCGUAGCGGUGAAAUGCGCAGAUAUCAGGAGGAACACCGGUGGCGAAGGCGGUUCUCUGGGCAUGUCCUGACGCUGAGGAGCGAAAGUGUGGGGAGCGAACAGG
rnacentral:rRNA from 1 species